UAAUGCUGUAGAAUACAUUGCUCCAAAUUAAAUCAAGUAAAAGUUGUAUUAAUUAGUUUAUUAAGUGCUAAAAAAAAGAAAAGAAAACAAAGGGAAGUAUGGGGAAGGCUUUUAUGAAGUUUUCAACAUUUGUUGUUGCUUUGUUGCUAAUCAUCAUGGUUGCAGAUAUUCCAUCCAGUAAGGUGGCAGAGGCACAAGUGCAAACGUGUAAUCAUGCAAAGGAUUGUCAUUAUUGUUUCAUUCCUAUUUGUAUUUUUCAUCAAUGCUUUUGUUGGUCCAAGUCAAAGUCUGAUGUGACUACGGUUCGUGGCCCGAAACCCGAGAAUUGAUGAUGUGGGGAUAAAAAUUUAUUCGCACUCAAAAUUUUACGUUUUACAUGAACUAAGUGCGGAUAAAUUUUUACUAUAUCGACUAUCGUUAUGUAUGUUUCUAUUUCCUAAAUGAAUAUGAACUUCAAAACUCUUAUGUUGAGUAA